GAUGAACGCUGGCGGCGUGCCUAAUACAUGCAAGUCGAGCGAACAGACGAGGAGCUUGCUCCUCUGACGUUAGCGGCGGACGGGUGAGUAACACGUGGAUAACCUACCUAUAAGACUGGGAUAACUUCGGGAAACCGGAGCUAAUACCGGAUAAUAUAUUGAACCGCAUGGUUCAAUAGUGAAAGACGGUUUUGCUGUCACUUAUAGAUGGAUCCGCGCCGCAUUAGCUAGUUGGUAAGGUAACGGCUUACCAAGGCGACGAUGCGUAGCCGACCUGAGAGGGUGAUCGGCCACACUGGAACUGAGACACGGUCCAGACUCCUACGGGGGCAGCAGUAGGGAAUCUUCCGCAAUGGGCGAAAGCCUGACGGAGCAACGCCGCGUGAGUGAUGAAGGUCUUCGGAUCGUAAAACUCUGUUAUUAGGGAAGAACAAAUGUGUAAGUAACUAUGCACGUCUUGACGGUACCUAAUCAGAAAGCCACGGCUAACUACGUG
rnacentral:rRNA from 1 species